UGACGUCACGGGGAGCGGCCAGUGCGCGAGGGAGAGGGCGUGGCCGGCACAGCGCCCCGCCCUCUGGUGCGCCGUUGUUGGAGGGUGGGGGGCGUCAAUCAUCUACUUCCACUCCAUCACCCACUCUGAGGAAAAAGCCAGCCAGGAGCAGCCCGCGGUGGACCAACUGACCCCGGGACGCCGAGUGUCCGGCGGGGCCGCUUCACAUAAUUGUCCCCUCCCCUGCGUGGGUUGCCCUGCAUGCCCUGUACUCGAGCAGCCUCUUCCCGCCCUAGCCGCCGCCCUCAGACUCUCAGCUCACCUGUCCACGCCGAGGAGGCCGAUCCAGGGAUCACUGACAACUGAGCCAUGCUCAGCUUCUCGUGCCUUUGUGCUCCGAAGUUGGGAGAGCUCUGGAUUCCUCCAACUUCAGGGUCUGCUCCAAGGGCAUUGAAAAUGCUAGGCAAUUAAUUCCAGAUGUGGUCAAGCUGACAACCAAGAACAGCCAUCACAGCAACUUAAAGGAGGGAGGGAUCAUUUUGCUCCUGACUUUCAGAGGACUCCACCCGUAGUGACUUGGCUCUGUGUCUCUGACCCACUGUGAGGCAGAACAUCGUGGUGAUGGGAGUGUGUGCAGCAGGAGGAGGCUGUUCACUGCGGGACAGACAGGAAUCACCAAGCAAGGAAAGGACUGGAGAAACCUUCGAGGGCACAUUUCCCUGGAGAACCCACCUCCUAAAAUAGAGUCACCAGCUGGAGACCAAACACUCUAGCCCCGAACCUGGGAGGAUGUAAAAGAAAAAAUGAGUAGCGAUGGUAUGGGGGUGGCAGUAUUGUGAAUAGCUUGAAAUCACCUAAAUCAAUGACUAAUUAUUAGGCCAAGCAGAGUGAGAUUCUAAACCAGUACUCUCGGUGGUCUAUAUCAGUUCAGCAUGUGGUCAAUCAUUUAUCAACAAUCAGCUCUGACCUUCAGAGCCCAAUUUGGUAGCAUUUUAUUUUGAAUUUCAGGCAUUUAAGUUCCCAGGCAAAUAGUAUGGGCAACUAACUGAAACACAGGUCAACUCCAUUUUCCAACCACUAGGUGGCACCAGUCCCAGGACUUGCCUGUGACUUGGUGCUAUGGUUAGCCUGGUGUGUCACCACAAUGCUCUAAGUUCUUGCUGUGUGAGUGAAGGAGCUUGCCAGGGCAGUGCUGCCAGGCUUACUUUGAGGAGCCAGUGUCCUUGAUGGGCCUGGACUCACGACUCCAAUGACUAACUCAUCCUAAUGAAAAUAGCCACUGCGAACUCAUUGUCCAUCUCCAACACUCUCCUCAUGUUCGCUGGGUUUUUGCCUUUCUCCACCAGACUCUCAAAUCACCAAAGACAGAGAUGUAUUCUGUUCACUGCUGUAACCCUAGCUCCUACAGUGCCUAGUACUUACUAGGCUGUCAGUAAAUAUACAUUGCAUAAAUUAAUGAAUAAGCAAACAUGCAACACAGAAGUAUUAGCAACUAAGGACUGUAGUUGCAUUUCCCUUGGGAAACUGAAAACCAAGCAAUACUGAGCUGUUGUCAUUGUUUGUGGGAGGUGGGCUUAAUCUGUAUUGUUUUAAUUCAACUAGAACAGCUUGCCUCUAAAUUAAAGUGGUUUCGUCUUCUAAAUCUAUUUUGCUCCUACCAUGCUGUCUGGGGAGAUCUUUGAUAGACCUUUGUAUCUUUUACUAUUUUAAGAGUCCUGCUCUGUAGCCUUGGUUGCUCUGGUGGUUGCUAUGUGCCCAGGAAAGCCUCCAAAAGACAGCCACAACACUGCCUUCCCAGUGCUGGGAUUACAUGUGUGAGCUACCAUAUCCAGCUUACUUGUGACUUUGU